UUUUUUUUUUUUGACAUCAAAAGCUCCAUAUUUUAUUAAGCUGAAUCAAAGAGGAUGGCCUCGUGAGCCAUCCAAACCGGAAAAUGUGAGCUUACAUGGGAAAACAAAAUAUCUCGUGACCUCGCAUUCUUUGCUAAAGAAUCUGCACGGAUAUUCUUAUUCCUAGAAAUAAAAGAAAUCGAGAAAUGAAAGAAUUUCGCUUUUGUAGUUGUGAAAAUA
rnacentral:lncRNA from 1 species